rnacentral:rRNA from 1 species
AGCCAUGUGAGUCAUUGUAGCAAUACAAGGCAGACGGCUCAGUAACACGUAGUCAAUCUACCCUAUGGACGGGGAUAACCUCGGGAAACUGAGGAUAAAACCCGAUAGAUCAUAAUGCCUGGAAUGGCUUAUGGUCCAAAUGAUUCGUCGCCGUAGGAUGGGACUGCGGCCUAUCAGCUUGUUGGUGAGGUAAUGGCCCACCAAGGCUAUUACAGGUACGGGCUCUGAGAGGAGAAGCCCGGAGAUGGGUACUGAGACACGGACCCAGGCCCUAUGGGGCGCAGCAGGCGAGAAACCUUUGCAAUGUGCGCAAGCACGACAAGGUUAAUCCGAGUGUUUCCUGCUAAAGGAAUCUUUUGUUAGUUCUAAAACCACUGAUGAAUAAGGGGUGGGCAAGUUCUGGUGUCAGCCGCCGCGGUAAAACCAGCACCUCAAGUGGUCAGGAGGAUUAUUGGGCCUAAAGCAUCCGUAGCCUGUUCUGUAAGUUUCCGGUUAAAUCCAUUAGCUCAACUAAUGGGCUGCCGAAAAUACUGUAGAACUAGGGAGUGGGAGAGGUAGACGGUACUCGGUAGGAAGGGGUAAAAUCCUUUGAUCUAUUGAUGACCACCUGUGGCGAAGGCGGUCUACCAGAACACGUCCGACGGUGAGGGAUGAAAGCUGGGGGAGCAAACCGGAUUAGAUACCCGGGUAGUCCCAGCUGUAAACUAUGCAAACUCAGUGAUGCAUUGGCUUGAUGCCAAUGCAGUGCUGCAGGGAAGCCGUUAAGUUUGCCGCCUGGGAAGUACGUACGCAAGUAUGGGUG